AUUGAACGCUGGCGGCAGGCUUAACACAUGCAAGUCGAGCGGAGAGAGGUAGCUUGCUACUGAUCUUAGCGGCGGACGGGUGAGUAAUGCUUAGGAAUCUGCCUAUUAGUGGGGGACAACAUUUCGAAAGGAAUGCUAAUACCGCAUACGUCCUACGGGAGAAAGCAGGGGAUCUUCGGACCUUGCGCUAAUAGAUGAGCCUCAGUCGGAUUAGCUAGUUGGUGGGGUAAAGGCCUACCAAGGCGACGAUCUGUAGCGGGUCUGAGGGGAUGAGCCGCCACACUGGGCCUGAGGCACGGCCCAGACUCCUACGGGAGGAAGCAGUGGGGAAUAUUGGACAAUGGGGGGACCCCUGAACUAGCCAUGCCGCGUGUGUGAAGAAGGCCUUAUGGUUGUAAAGCACUUUAAGCGAGGAGAAGGCUCUUUUGGUUAAUACCCAAGAUGAGUGGACGUUACUCGCAGAAUAAGCACCGGCUAACUCUGUGCCAGCCGCCGCCGUAA
rnacentral:rRNA from 1 species